rnacentral:rRNA from 1 species
CCUACGGGUGGCAGCAGUGGGGGAUAUUGCACAAUGGGCGAGACCCUGAUGCAGCGACGCCGCGUGUGGGAAGACUGUCCUCUGGAUUGUAAACCACUGUCCCCAGGGACGAAGAUGCCGGUACCUGCGGCGGAAGCUCCGGCUAACUACGUGCCAGCAGCCGCGGUAAUACGGAGGGAGCGAGCGUUGUCCGGAAUUACUGGGUGUAAAGGGAGCGUAGGCGGGACUGUAAGUGGGCGGUAAAAUCUACCGGCUCAACCGGUAGCCGCACUCAAAACUGCAGUUCUUGAGUGAAGUAGAGGUAGGCGGAAUGCGUAGUGUAGCGGUGAAAUGCGUAGAUAUUAGGAAGAACACCAGUGGCGAAGGCGGCCUGCUGGUCUUUUACUGACGCUGAGGCUCGAAAGUGUGGGUAGCAAACAGGAUUAGAUACCCUUGUAGUC